CUUACACAUGCAAGUCGAGGGGCAGCAUGAACUUAGCUUGCUAAGUUUGAUGGCGACCGGCGCACGGGUGAGUAACACGUAUCCAACCUGCCGAUGACUCGGGGAUAGCCUUUCGAAAGAAAGAUUAAUACCCGAUGGCAUAGUUCUUCCGCAUGGUAGAACUAUUAAAGAAUUUCGGUCAUCGAUGGGGAUGCGUUCCAUUAGGUUGUUGGCGGGGUAACGGCCCACCAAGCCUUCGAUGGAUAGGGGUUCUGAGAGGAAGGUCCCCCACAUUGGAACUGAGACACGGUCCAAACUCCUACGGGAGGCAGCAGUGAGGAAUAUUGGUCAAUGGACGAGAGUCUGAACCAGCCAAGUAGCGUGAAGGAUGACUGCCCUAUGGGUUGUAAACUUCUUUUAUACGGGAAUAAAGUGAGGCACGUGUGCCUUUUUGUAUGUACCGUAUGAAUAAGGAUCGGCUAACUCCGUGCCAGCAGCCGCGGUAAUACGGAGGAUCCGAGCGUUAUCCGGAUUUAUUGGGUUUAAAGGGAGCGUAGGCGGACGCUUAAGUCAGUUGUGAAAGUUUGCGGCUCAACCGUAAAAUUGCAGUUGAUACUGGGUGUCUUGAGUACAGUAGAGGCAGGCGGAAUUCGUGGUGUAGCGGUGAAAUGCUUAGAUAUCACGAAGAACUCCGAUUGCGAAGGCAGCUUGCUGGACUGUAACUGACGCUGAUGCUCGAAAGUGUGGGUAUCAAACAGGAUUAGAUACCCUGGUAGUCCACACAGUAAACGAUGAAUACUCGCUGUUUGCGAUAUACAGUAAGCGGCCAAGCGAAAGCGUUAAGUAUUCCACCUGGGGAGUACGCCGGCAACGGUGAAACUCAAAGGAAUUGACGGGGGCCCGCACAAGCGGAGGAACAUGUGGUUUAAUUCGAUGAUACGCGAGGAACCUUACCCGGGCUUGAAUUGCAACUGAAUGAUGUGGAGACAUGUCAGCC
rnacentral:rRNA from 1 species